rnacentral:lncRNA from 1 species
GGGCCUCAAUGAAAGUUAGACUAGUUCUAAUUGAGUUACCCUCUUUAAAUAAAGAAUUUAUUAUUAUUAUAACCAUGUCCCCAUUCAAAUGCAAUGAUUGACCCAAAAAAGGGGGACCCCCCACCCUGGUUGCUGGUUUUUUUUUUAUCUUGGCUUGCUAAUCUUUGCUAAUCAAAAGUUUUCUGUAUCUUGCCUUGUAUUUUUUUUUUUUUUCAUUUUUGAUUUUUUAUUGCUUCGUUACUCAGUAAAUGUCAUCCUCAGUUCACAUGUGUACGAUGUCCACAAUUUUUGAAAUUCCGACUCUCAAUAAUAGUCAUAACAAAAUUAAUAGAAAUACAGGGGCG